GAUGAACGCUGGCGGCGUGCUUAACACAUGCAAGUCGAACGGAAAGGCUCCUGUUUUGUGGGGUACUCGAGUGGCGAACGGGUGAGUAACACGUGGGUGAUCUUCCCUGCACUUCGGGAUAAGCCCAGGAAACUGGGUCUAAUACCGGAUAGGACCAUCGUUUUGAUGGCAUUGUUGAAAGUUUUUCUGUGUGGGAUGAGCGCGCUGCCUAUCAGCAUGUUGGUGGGGUAAUAGCAUAUUAAGGCGUCGAUGGGUAGCCGGCCUGAGAGGGUGGACGGCCACAUUGGGACUGAGAUACAGCCCAGACUCCUAAGGGAGGCAGCAGUGGGGAAUAUUGCACAAUGGGAGCAAGCCUGAUGCAGCGACGCCGCGUGGGGGAUGACGGCCUUCGGGUUGUAAACUCCUUUAGCUAGAGACGAAGCGAAAGUGACGGUACUUGGUAAAGAAGCAACGGCUAACUACGUG
rnacentral:rRNA from 1 species